UUCCUGCGACUCUUACUCAGUAACCCGACUUCUUCGUCAUCGGGUGGUGUAUUCGAUUUGGUAUGUUAAAUUGUAAAAAUCUUAGAUUCUCCACAGUAGUAAUAGUAGAGGUAUCAGUGGUAAUUUUCUGAGUUUCGGGUCUCGCCUAAUUUUUCUGGCAGACCGAAGUAAUUAUGUAAAAUGUAACUAUUAAGAUUAUUUGUGGC
rnacentral:lncRNA from 1 species